GGUACACGAGCGGCGAACGGGUGAGUAACACGUGAGCAACCUGCCCCUGACUCUGGGAUAAGCGGUGGAAACGCCGUCUAAUACCGGAUACGACCUGCCAUCUCAUGGUGGUGGGUGGAAAGUUUUUCGGUCAGGGAUGGGCUCGCGGCCUAUCAGCUUGUUGGUGGGGUAACGGCCUACCAAGGCGAUUACGGGUAGCCGGCCUGAGAGGGCGACCGGCCACACUGGGACUGAGACACGGCCCAGACUCCUGCGGGAGGCAGCAGUGGGGAAUAUUGCGCAAUGGGCGAAAGCCUGACGCAGCGACGCCGCGUGGGGGAUGACGGCCUUCGGGUUGUAAACCUCUUUUACCACCAACGCAGGCUCCCAGUUCUCUGGGGGUUGACGGUAGGUGGGGAAUAAGGACCGGCUAACUACGUGCCAGCAGCCGCGGUAAUACGUAGGGUCCGAGCGUUGUCCGGAAUUAUUGGGCGUAAAGAGCUCGUAGGCGGCGUGUCGCGUCUGCUGUGAAAGACCGGGGCUUAACUCCGGUUCUGCAGUGGAUACGG
rnacentral:rRNA from 1 species